UACGGGGGGGGCAAGCGUUGUUCGGAAUUACUGGGCGUAAAGGGCUCGUAGGCGGCCAACUAAGUCAGACGUGAAAUCCCCAGGCUCAACCUGGGAACUGCGUCUGAUACUGGAUGGCUUGAAUCCGGGAGAGGGAUGCAGAAUUCCAGGUGUAGCGGUGAAAUGCGUAGAUAUCUGGAGGAAUACCGGUGGCGAAGGCGACGUCCUGGACCGGCAUUGACGCUGAGGCGCGAAAGCCAGGGGAGCAAACGGG
rnacentral:rRNA from 1 species